UACGUAGGGUGCAAGCGUUGUCCGGAAUUAUUGGGCGUAAAGCGCACGUAGGCGGAUUUGUAAGUCAGGGGUGAAAUCCCGGGGCUCAACCUCGGAACUGCCUUUGAUACUGCAAAUCUCGAGUCCGAUAGAGGUGGGUGGAAUUCCUAGUGUAGAGGUGAAAUGCGUAGAGAUCGGGAGGAACAUCCGUGGCGAAGGCGGCCAUCUGGAUCAACACUGACGCUGAGGCACGAAAGCGUGGGGAGCAAACAGGG
rnacentral:rRNA from 1 species